rnacentral:misc_RNA from 1 species
CUGAAGAUAAGGUGUUAGUUGAUGGCCGGUCUUCGGAUUAGCCUCCUACUCCUUACUCUUAUACACACCUUUAUAAGUCUUCUAAGACAGUAGCGCUAAUGUGUUAGUCUUUGGUCUUUAUUGACCAUUGACUUUCGCAGGCCCUUAGGCGAUCCUUAACCGGAAAGUCUAAGGGAAACGUUACUGGCUUAACCGUUUACACUACUAGUUUACUGGUUCUAAAUUGAUAUCAUCUAAUGAUAUUAAA